rnacentral:lncRNA from 1 species
CUCAUUCCUAACGACCGUCAUUCCUCCUUUCUUUGGCACUAAUUGGACAGGGCUAACCCACUCACUAUGUGGCACAGGAUAAAUAAUCCCAGCACGAUAGAGUUUGAGGACCUUUUUCUUAACAACCUCUCGCAUAGCAUUGUUAAGUCUCCAUUGUGGUUCCCUUGAAGGUGUAAAAUUGGGAUCAAUAGGGAUACGAUGAGUGUAGAGAAUGGGACUAAUGCCCAUGAGAUCUUCGAGAGAGUAGCCAAAUGCUGAUCUAUGCCUUUCAAGAACAGUGAAAAGUUGUUGUGUUUCAUAAUCGAAAAGCUUGUCACUGAUUUGGGUUGUUGUGCAAAAAGACAUAUUUAAGGCCAG